rnacentral:tRNA from 1 species
CUAGAAAAACAGGACUCGAACCUGCAUUUGAGAAUCCAAAACUCUCUGUGUUUCCCUUACACNNNA